UCCACAAUAAUAAAGAAUCAAGAAACAGAUAUUUUUUCAAUUUCUUCCCAUUACAUUUUAGGUCCACAUUUAGAUGUAUCUGGGAAGAUCUCUAAACUGACACCACUGUGAGAGGCCCCUGGGAUUCACAAAUAUCAUUUCCAUGACACUCAGAAAAUGGGGGAAAAGAGGAAAAUGUGAGCGGCGAUAAAUUGGAGCUAAUCUCUUUCUGCCACAACCUGAAAUGAUACUUGGCCAGAUGUACACACCUGAAUUCAGGAUUUACCCAGAGAAGCCUGCCCAGAACUUUGAGCACAGUAGGUCCUCAAUAAACAUUUCCUAGGGGGCUAACUGAAAGGAAAACAAACAAAACAAACAAUAAAAUUAAGAUGUUGGAAGAA
rnacentral:antisense_RNA from 1 species